rnacentral:rRNA from 1 species
UUGACCUCGGAUCAGGUAGGAAUACCCGCUGAACUUAAGCAUAUCAAAAGC